AUGAAUGUUAGUCGUUGGUUCUCUAGUAGAAUCAGUGAUGCAGUUAACACAUUAAACAUUCCGCCUGGGGAGUACGGUCGCAAGAUUAAAACUCAAAGGAAUAGACGGGGACCCGCACAAGUGGUGGAGCAUGUGGUUUAAUUCGAAGAUACGCGAAGAACCUUACCUAGCCUUGACAUUGAGAGAACACCGUAGAGAUACAGUGGUGCCCUUUUGGGAGCUUGAAAACAGGUGCUGCACGGCUGUCGUCAGCUCGUGUCGUGAGAUGUUGGGUUAAGUCCCGCAACGAGCGCAACCCUCGUGUUUAGUUGCUAACAGUUAGGCUGAGCACUCUAGACAGACUGCCUCCGCAAGGAGGAGGAAGGUGAGGACGACGUCAAGUCAUCAUGGUCCUUACGGCCAGGGCGACACACGUGCUACAAUGGGUAGGACAAUGAGAGGCGAUACCGCGAGGUGGAGCAAAUCUAUAAACCUACUCUCAGUUCGGAUUGUAGUCUGCAACUCGACUACAUGAAGCUGGAAUCACUAGUAAUCGUAGAUCAGUCAUGCUACGGUGAAUACGUUCCCGGGUCUUGUACUCACCGCCCGUCACACCAUGGGAGUUGAGUUCACCCGAAGCGGGGAAGCUAAACUGGCUACCUGCCACGGUGGGCUCAGCGACUGGGGUGAAGUCGUAACAAGGUA
rnacentral:rRNA from 1 species